rnacentral:misc_RNA from 1 species
AUUGGACUCACCUCGAUAAGGAGAAUGAGGCAUCGACAUUACGCCACAGAAAAAUCCCUGGGUUUACACUCCACCCAUACGCCCAUACAUGAGUUAUACUCAUAAGACAUAUCAUAUUUCAUAAGCCUGUCUGACUGCAAACGAAUCCGAUUUGAUUCCUUCUUCUCAUGGGUUGUUUCCGCGCAGUAUAUGAAUCAAAUUUGCAGCAUUUGCUCUGAUCUUUUCAUUAUCG